GACGAACGCUGGCGGCGUGCUUAACACAUGCAAGUCGAACGGAAAGGCCCUGCUUUUGUGGGGUGCUCGAGUGGCGAACGGGUGAGUAACACGUGAGUAACCUGCCCUUGACUUUGGGAUAACUUCAGGAAACUGGGCUAAUACCGGAUAGGAGCUCCUGCUGCAUGGUGGGGGUUGGAAAGUUUCGGCGGUUGGGGAUGGACUCGCGGCUUAUCAGCUUGUUGGUGGGGUAGUGGCUUACCAAGGCUUUGACGGGUAGCCGGCCUGAGAGGGUGACCGGCCACAUUGGGACUGAGAUACGGCCCAGACUCCUACGGGAGGCAGCAGUGGGGAAUAUUGCACAAUGGGCGGAAGCCUGAUGCAGCAACGCCGCGUGCGGGAUGACGGCCUUCGGGCUGUAAACCGCUUUCGCCUGUGACGAAGCGUGAGUGACGGUAAUGGGUAAAGAAGCACCGGCUAACUACGUG
rnacentral:rRNA from 1 species